rnacentral:lncRNA from 1 species
UUUGUUGAAGGUCGUUCGAGCUUUUCCUGGGAGUAUAGCAUGGGUUACUUCAGCGCACAUCACUUAGAUGAACUCUAGAGAGUCGCAUAGAAGGGAAUGAAGAAAUGGAAUAUGAAAGAGAAUACAAAGAAAUAAAUGUAAAGGGAUCGGCUUCUAUUUGUACUGUAGCUGAGAUGAGUCUUGGUUAUUUCUAUCCUUGAACUCCUCUAGACCCGACUUUUUGUUGGGCCUUUCAACCAACUAUUUUUAUUUUAAUCUUUUAAUUAAAUAUGUAUGAAGUAUUACCAUUCUUUUUGAAUGUGAGAAGCUGCAGUGUGAACAAAUAAAAAAGAAGAGGAAAGAUAAGCAAAUUUUGUCUUUUACUACAUUAUAAUAGACACAUUAGAAUAGACUCUUUGCUCAUUUUAAAAAGAGAAAAAAAUAAAAAAUAAAAAAUAAAAUAAAUAAAGAGAGGGUUUACUCUCAGAUACCUAGCUAGAUAAGUAUGUAUUAUGUCGAUCCAUAUCAAUUAAUUUGUAGAGUAGAUACUCAUACAAAUUAAUCAUAUGCCAGGAACCAGAUUUGAACUGGUGAC